rnacentral:rRNA from 1 species
GACGAACGCUGGCGGCGCGCUUAGCACAUGCAAGUCGAACGGAAAGGCCUGCUUUCCCUUGUGGAUUGCGGGUACUCGAGUGGCGAACGGGUGAGUAACACGUGAGUGAUCUGCCCCCAACUUGGGUAUAAGCCUGGGAAACUGGGUCUAAUUCCCGAUAGGACUGCAGGGUGGUGCCUGUGGUGGAAAACGAUUUUCUAGUGGUUGGGGAUGAGCUCGCGGCCUAUCAGCUUGUUGGUGGGGUAAUGGCCUACCAAGGCGGCGACGGGUAGCCGGCCUGAGAGGGUGGACGGCCACAUUGGGACUGAGAUACGGCCCAGACUCCUACGGGAGGCAGCAGUGGGGAAUAUUGCACAAUGGGCGGAAGCCUGAUGCAGCGACGCCGCGGGGGGGAUGACGGCCUUCGGGUUGUAAACUCCUUUCGACCGCGAGGAAGCCACCUGGUUGGAAGGGUGGUGACGGUAGUGGUAGAAGAAGCACCGGCUAACUACGUG